rnacentral:rRNA from 1 species
AAUACGGAGGGUUGCGAGCGUUAAUCGGAAUUACUGGGCGUAAAGCGCAUGCAGGUGGUUUGUUAAGUCAGAUGUGAAAGCCCGGGGCUCAACCUCGGAAUUGCAUUUGAAACUGGCAAACUAGAGUACUGUAGAGGGGGUAGAAUUUCAGGUGUAGCGGUGAAAUGCGUAGAGAUCUGAAGGAAUACCGGUGGCGAAGGCGGCCCCCCUGGACAGAUACUGACACUCAGAUCGCGAAAGCGUGGGGAGCAAACAGGAUUAGAUACCACCGGUAG